rnacentral:rRNA from 1 species
GACGUAGGGGGCGAGCGUUGUCCGGAUUUAUUGGGCGUAAAGAGCUCGUAGGCGGCUCAGCAAGUCAGGUGUGAAACCUCCAGGCUUAACCUGGAGACGCCACCUGAUACUGCUGUGGCUGGAGUCCGGUAGGGGAGCAGGGAAUAUCCGGUGUAGCGGUGAAAUGCUUAGAUAUCAUUUGGAACGCCAAUGGUGAAAACAGGUAGCUGGGAGUGUGCUGACGCUGAGACACGAAAGCCAGGGGAGCAAACGGG